GAUGAAGAACGCAGCGAAAUGCGAUACGUAAUGUGAAUUGCAAAUUCAGUGAAUCAUCGAAUCUUUGAACGCACAUUGCGCCCCUCGGCACUCCGGGGGGCAUGCCUGUCCGAGCGUCAUUGCACCCCUCGAGCCCCCCGUGGCUUGGUCGUGAGCCGCGCCCGCGCCAGCCCCGUCCCCCCCCGUGCAGCGGGGGGCAGGGGCGCCGGGCGGGCUCGAAACGCAGUGGCGGCCCCCGGGCGACUUCCAGCGCGAUGACAUGUUUCGCUGCCGAAGCCUUCGCCCCGGGCGCCCGCCAGGCAACCCCCGUGCUUCUUACGCGGUUGACCUCGGAUCAGGCAGGGAUACCCGCUGAACUUAAGCAUAUCAUAAGCGGAGGA
rnacentral:misc_RNA from 1 species